AGUCCUCCAGUUUGGAGAAUGCCGGUCUAGAAAGAGGAGGAGGAGACAGUGGGAAGCAGGGUCAUAUGGCUGCACAGGCUGCUGCAAAGAUGAGCGGUGAUAACGCAGGGAGAGGUGGGUCUGGCUCGAAGGGGCGGCUUGGAAAUCAAGUCCAGGAGAAGAAAAGCCCCGUCCAGGUCUCAGAGAAAAGGCAAUCAUCACUGGUGGGUUUGGACUAAAUGCCCUUUCAAAGAUCCUUUCAGUCUUGAGACUGAAAAUCGUUUCCAUAUCGAUGGGAUCUGCCCCGGGUGGGGCUUCCCACAGUCUUGGCAGCUCACCCCAAGGAAAGAGAACGCCUGGCUCCUACUGCCCUGGAGACAGCUCAGGUCCAUUCCCCCAUCUCCUCCUCGAUUUUGCUUAAACAUCUUGUCACCUUCUUGGCAAGACCUACUCUGACCACCAUCUUAAAGAUGGUAACUUGCACCCUGAACAACCCUUUUUGCUUGGCUUGAGUCCUUUUCCCAUAGUAUCUGUCGCUUUCUCACAUAUUAAAUACAUGUUCUCAUAUACUAAAGAUAAUUUUAAAAAUAUUUCUUUAAAGGAAAAAGUUGGCUAAUGCAUAAAGAUGCUCAUUGUAAUGCCUACUGUAAGCAGGAACUGGAAAACCCUGAACAUCUGCACACGUAUGUUCCUACAGUCUCCUAGUGAAUUUCACAGUCAACAGAAAUGAUCAUCUGGAAUACUGUGUAGUGACAAAAACGCAAAGCAAAACGUCAGACUUUCCUCUAUUUAAGAUAACUGUGAAAAAAUGUGUUUGGACAUGGACAUGGGAACAUGGAAACUUGAAGACAGUGUUAGCAUGGUAUAUAGGUUUGGGUGAAUUUCCUGCUGUUAAAGUUUAA